AACGAACGCUGGCGGCAUGCCUAACACAUGCAAGUCGAACGAAGGCUUCGGCCUUAGUGGCGCACGGGUGCGUAACGCGUGGGAAUCUGCCCUUUGGUUCGGAAUAACAGCUGGAAACGGCUGCUAAUACCGGAUGAUGACGAAAGUCCAAAGAUUUAUCGCCAGAGGAUGAGCCCGCGUUGGAUUAGGUAGUUGGUGGGGUAAAGGCCUACCAAGCCGACGAUCCAUAGCUGGUCUGAGAGGAUGAUCAGCCACACUGGGACUGAGACACGGCCCAGACUCCUACGGGAGGCAGCAGUGGGGAAUAUUGGACAAUGGGCGCAAGCCUGAUCAGCAAUGCCGCGUGAGUGAUGAAGGCCCUAGGGUUGUAAAGCUCUUUUACCCGGGAAGAUAAUGACUGUACCGGGAGAAUAAGCCCCGGCUAACUCCGUG
rnacentral:rRNA from 1 species